AAUCUACUGUACCUCCCACACGCGAGAGCUCUACUCCUUAUCGCUUUCGUAUAUAUCCACUGCCAGCACUCACUCCUCGAACUCAGCAAUUUGCUUACCUCUGCGAAUCCUUUAUAGCUCAUGUUUAUGCUCUGAUAAUCACAUUUCGUAAAGCUUAAAUUUUUUAUGGUAUUCUUGUAUAGUUGUUUUGUGGGGUGAAAGAGAGAGACACACACUGAGGGACAGGGAGAGAUGGAUUACGCAGCAGAUGCCCACCGGACUGAUUUGAUGACCAUAACGAGGUAUGUAUUGAAUGAGCAAUCAAAGCACCCGGAUUCGCGUGGGGAUUUCAGUAUUUUGCUCAAUCAUAUUGUUCUUGGCUGCAAAUUCGUUUGCUCUGCUGUUAACAAGGCGGGUCUUGCCAAGCUUAUUGGGCUUGCUGGGGAGACAAAUGUUCAGGGUGAAGAGCAAAAGAAACUGGAUGUGCUUUCAAAUGAAGUAUUCAUCAACGCUUUAGUAAGCAGUGGUCGAACUUGUAUACUUGUCUCUGAAGAAGAUGAGGAGGCAACAUUUGUGGAGCCUGAAAAGCGUGGAAAGUACUGUGUUGUUUUUGAUCCGUUGGAUGGAUCCUCCAACAUUGACUGUGGCGUUUCAAUUGGAACGAUCUUUGGGAUUUACAUGGUGAAACAUGGCCAUGAACCAACUCUAGAUGAUGUUUUGCAACCUGGGAAAAAUAUGGUAGCAGCUGGCUACUGCAUGUAUGGAAGCUCUUGCACGCUUGUUUUGAGCACUGGAAGUGGUGUUAAUGGCUUCACCCUUGAUCCAUCCCUUGGGGAGUUCAUACUCACACACCCUGAUAUUAAGAUUCCAAAGAAAGGAAAAAUUUAUUCAGUAAAUGAAGGAAAUGCUAAGAACUGGGAUGGUCCAACUGCUAAGUACGUGGAAAAAUGCAAGUUCCCUGAGGAUGGUUCCUCACCAAAGUCUCUAAGAUACAUUGGAAGUAUGGUAGCUGAUGUCCAUCGCACAUUACUUUAUGGGGGGAUAUUUUUGUACCCUGCUGACAAGAAGAGUCCCAAUGGGAAACUGCGUGUGCUUUAUGAAGUCUUUCCAAUGUCUUUUUUGAUGGAACAAGCAGGAGGUCAAUCUUUUACCGGCAAGCAAGGGGCACUUGACUUGGUUCCAGAGAAGAUACAUCAGCGGUCUCCAAUAUUUCUGGGAAGCUAUGAUGAUGUUGAGGAAAUCAAAGCACUCUAUGCUGCUGAAAAGCAGAGUGUAUAAAGAAUCAUUCUCUUAUAAUGCUUACAUAGCCUUAUUAACUGUACAGUGGCUACUUGACCACCCUUCUUCUAAUCAUAUAUUGUGUUAAUAUUCAAUUUCGAAGUUCAGGAUUUGGGAGUCCGUGCCGUCGAUGAAGAACUCAGUUUGGAGAUGAUUCAGAUAAAAACAUAAUAACAGAGGGUCAUAGUGUGUGCUACGACGGGUUUUCAAGAAUGACUGUUAAUAUUCUUUUCUUCUCUCUCUUAUGUGGGUUUGAUUUGGAUUCUUUGAUUCUUUUUUUUGUGGGUUUGAUUAUAAUGGAAAAGAGAGUACCAUUGUUAAGAAUGAAAUUUGAAUUGGAAAUUUUUGAUGAUUGAAUUUUCUCAGACAACUUAUAUAAAAAUUAUUUCUUGCA